AAGAAGCUAUUAUUUCUAGUGUCUGUUAUUUUAUUUUUAAACAAAGACAAGCUUUGAAGAGGAACUUUUCUACUUUCUACAAUUUCCUCUUAUUUUACUUCAUAGUUCCUCUUCAAACUUGUUUAACAUGUCUUGGCUUAGUUGUUUUGAUUAACUCCUGGAUGUACAGUACAACAUAACACCUAAGAAGAAGGAGUAUACUUAUAGUUGUUAUAGAGGUUCAAAUUCACAACUGGUAUCAUAUUCCUUCUGCCAAAAUAAAUUCUCACUUCGCUGAUCAUAUGAUUAUUUACCUAGAAAACCCUAAAGACUCGCCAAAAGGAUCCAACUGAUAAAUGAUGUCAGUGAAAUUUUAAAUUGAAUGUACAAAUAUCAGUAGCAUUCCUAUAAACCAAUAAUGUUCAAACUGAGAGCCAAAUCAAGACUGCAAUCCCAUUUACAAGAGACAUACACACACACGCACACACACACGGAAUACAUCUAACCAAGGAGGUGACAGAUCUCCACAGGAAGAGAAGCAAAACACAGUUGAGAGAAAUCAGAGAUGACACAAAUAAAUGGGAAAAUAUUUCAUGCUUAUGAACAAGAAUCAAUAUCAUUAAAAUAACCAUACUGCCCAAAGCAAUCAACAGAUUCAAUGCUAUUCCUAACAAACCACCAAUGUCAUUUUCACAGAAUUAGAACAAUUAUUUUAAAUUUAUGUGAAACCAGAAAGGAGCCUGAAUAGCUAAAUCAAUCCUAGGCAAAAUGUACAAAGCUAGAGGCAUCCCACUACCUAACUUCAAACUAUACUACAAGGCGACAGUAACCAAACAGCUUGGUACUGAUACAAAAACAGACAUGUAGGCCAAUGGAACAGAACAGAGAACCUAGAAAUAAAGCCACACACGUACAACCAUCUCAUCUUCAACAAAGUUGACAAAAACAAGCAACUGGGAAAUGGCUCCCUAUUCAACAAAUGAAUGAUGCUGGGAUAAUUGUGUAGUCAUAUGCAGAAGAUUGAAACUGGACUCCUACCUUUCACAAUAUACAAAAAUCAAAGUCAAAAAAGUCAAGGUCAACAAAAGUAAACAAUGGGAAAAGUACACUCUAUUCAAUAAAUGAUGCUGGAAUAACUAACUAACCCUAUGCAGAAGGAUGAAACUAGACCCCUAUUCAUCACCAUACACAAAAAUUAACUCAAGAUGAAUUAAAGACUUAAAUGAAAGAUCUCAAACAAUAAAAAUUCUAUAAAAGUCUGGGAAAUACCCUUCUGGACACUGAUCUUGGCAAAGAAUUUAUUACUAAGACCUCAAAAGCAAUUUGCAAUGAAAAAAAAUUGACAAGGAGAACCUAAUUAAACUAAAGAGCUUCUGCACAGCAAAAGAAGCUAUCAACAGACUAAGCAGGCAACCUAUGAAGUGGGAAAAAACGUUUGUGAACUAUGCAUCUGACAAAGGUCUAAUACCCAGAAUUUAGAAGAAACAUAAACAACUCAACAAGAAAAAAACAAAUAACGCCAUUGCAAAGUGGGCAAGGGAUGUGAACAGACACUUCUUAAAAGAAGACAGUCACGUGGCCAACAAAUAUAUGAAAAAUUACUCAUCAUCACUAAUCAUCAGAGAAAUGCAAACAAAAACCACAAUGAGUUAUCAUCUCACACCAGUCAGAGUGGCUAUUAUCAAAAAGUCACAAACAACAGAUGCUACUAAGGCUAUGGAGAAAGGUGAAAGCUUAUACAUUGUUGAUGCUAAAAUAUUAAUAAAUCUGUUCAGUCACUGUGGAAAGCAGUUUGAAGAUUUAUCAAAGAACUUAAAACAGAACUACCACUCAAUGCAGAAUCCCAUUGGCUAUAUACCCAUAGGAAAAUAAAUAAUUUUACCAAAAAUACACACACACUUACAUGUUCAUGACAGCACUAUUCACAAUAGCAAAGAAAUGGAAUCAACCUAGGCAACAGUCAAUUGGAGUAAAAAAAGUGGUACAUAGACAUCAUGGAAUACUGUGGAGCAAUAAGAAAGAAUGAAAUCCUGUCUUUUGUGGCAACGUGGUUGCAGAUGUAGGCCAUUAUCCUAAGUAAAUUAACAAAGAAACAGAAUACCAAGUAUAACAUAUACUCACUUAUCACUGGAAGCUGAACACUGGGUACACAUGGACAUACAGAUGGGGACAAUAAACUCUAGGGACUACAAGAAGUGGGAGGAAUGGGUUGAAAAACUACCUAUUGGGUACUAUGCUUACUACCAGGACAAGAUCAACUGUACUCCAAAGCUCAGCAUCACACCAUAUACCUUUGUAACAAAUCUGCACGUAUA
rnacentral:lncRNA from 1 species